GCCCCACCUACCUCACAGGGUGUUUGUUGUGAGGGGGGAUGGGCAAGGAGAUUGUAAGCCCCUCUGAGUCUCCUGCAGGAGAGAAAGGGGGAUAUAAAUCCAAACUCUUCUUCUUCAAUAGUAGUUGAAUUCUGAUCACGUUUAUUCUGCCUGCUUAUCUGCUUAACAACCACAUUUGUACUAGCACAGAGUUGGACACCCCUGUACUAAAUGGCCUACCGACUGGGAAAUAAAGAAACAAAAAGAUUAGAGAGUUCGGGCUGGUUGUCGACACAGGUGUGAGUUGUCUGAAUCCCAUCACCCUCAUCUAGCACAACUUGGUUUGUUGAAAGGUGACUUUGACUCAGCUGAGCGCCGGUGGAUGUUUAAAGGUGUCAUUUUGGAAUGAAUGUAAUACAGAGGUAUGGUGCACAUAGAAUUUAUGCCUGAAUUUAUGCCUGCCAUUUUUGAUCGGACAAGUGAGGAGUGACACAUGUUUUCUUUGCUUGACUUUUUGGAAUGGCAGAAUACUGCAUGAAACAUGUUCAACCCUGGCUUGAAUCCAGGACAGCAUUUCCUGGAGUGGAGCACAGUUUUUAUCACUAUGUCUCUCCUGCUACAAAUCACCAACUCUCCCCAUUUCAUGUUUUUUUUGGGGGGUCCCCCCUGUCCCCCAAGAGCAGCGUUUUGGAGGAAAUUGAGAAGGGGAUCCAAGAACUUACCCAACAGCUCAUCCCAUUACAAAGUGCACGGGAAAUUGUUAUACUUUGUCUCUCUUUGUGUCUCUUUGUGUUUUAAACCAUUGGAGGGCAUCUGAAUCUAAUCAAAUCCUGCAAAUGAUUAUCUAGGUCAACUGAAACAGAAAUGUGUGACAGGUCCCAUAAAAUCAUUUGCAAUGCAUGUAACUCAGGGAAUUUUAUACUUUCAAAUAUUUUAAACCCUGCAGAAGGGGGAAAAAAAACCCAACUUAUAUAUUUGUAGUCCUUUUUCUGACAAGACGAUAAUAAAAUAAAAGAUGAAGCAAA